AGUGAACGCUGGCGGUAGGCCUAACACAUGCGAGUCGAACGGCAGCACAGUAAGAGCUUGCUCUUACGGGUGGCGAGUGGCGGACGGGUGAGGAAUACAUCGGAAUCUACUUUUUCGUGGGGGAUAACGUAGGGAAACUUACGUUAAUACCGCAUACGACCUACGGGUGAAAGCAGGGGAUCUUCGGACCUUGCGCGAUUGAAUGAGCCGAUGUCGGAUUAGCUAGUUGGCGGGGUAAAGGCCCACCAAGGCGACGAUCCGUAGCUGGUCUGAGAGGAUGAUCAGCCACACUGGAACUGAGACACGGUCCAGACUCCUACGGGAGGCAGCAGUGGGGAAUAUUGGACAAUGGGCGCAAGCCUGAUCCAGCCAUACCGCGUGGGUGAAGAAGGCCUUCGGGUUGUAAAGCCCUUUUGUUGGGAAAGAAAAGCAGCAGGUUAAUACCCCGCUGUUCUGACGGUACCCAAAGAAUAAGCACCGGCUAACUUCGUG
rnacentral:rRNA from 1 species